GUAAACUACCAAACUACCCCACUACUUAACUACAAAAACUACCCCAAAAUUAAGUUUACCGCACUUGGUGAAACUGGGCUCAGUGGAGCUAUUCAGCUUAAUACACAGAGUAUGUGUUGCAUGGACUAAGCAUGUGUUGACCCUUUUUUACUUUUAGGUUCCCGCUAAAAAAAGAAGUACAGAGAAAAGUGGAUGAGGGCGUGUGGCAUGACCAAUGAGCCAAGACCACAUGACCACUUAAACUUAACAAGAAGUGCGCACCAUGAUAAGCACAGUCAAAAACGUUUGCGUCUAAAGAACAGUGCUGUGCCGGAUCAGAAUAUUCCGUAUACGCCUUGGGUUGCUGUCGCUGCUCGGUCACCCACAGAUGAAAGUGAUCAAGAAAUGGACAUCACUCAGGUGUGGGAUCACUCGUGGAAGUUCACGGCGGAUACGGAGCCGUGCAUGCAGCUCUGGUUCGAUCCUGCUCAGGGAAGCCCCAAUGACGCCGUGGCGCGCAUCUGGGCUGAGCGGGUGGUGGCGGCCGGUGCGCGGGCGCUGCCGCGUGGCUGGUGGCCGCGGCCCUGGCGGCAGCGGCCCGCUCCUGACCCGGUCGCCCUGUGCCGAGCACAGAGCGCCGACUGAGGUCAGUCUUGUGAUCGAGCUUCCGCGCCGGAGGUGGAACAGGUGGAGCUGGCGGUCACCUGCGCGGGCUCGGCGGCCUGUAAGCCGUGCCGAGACGAACCGCGACACUCUUGCUAGAUCUGCACCCCAUUGUAAUCUUCUGUAGUCGAUAUUCGGUAGGUACUCAAUGCUCAUUUUUCUGAUAUUAGACGAGUGGCGGGUUUUGAUGUUACAUUGGAGACUGCUGUCUCGGGUGGCCCGACAGUGUUCGAUUGUGGUGUAAUGUAGAUACAUAGACGGGAUGCCGCGGCUCGGAUUCGUAGCUGGACUACCAUGUGCCUGUCGAUUGAGAUGCUUUGCCUGGCGAUUGAGAUGAUUCGGGGCGCGGCCCCACACUGACGCCAUGGUGCAAUGAGUGACUGGCGACAACUAAGCAAUUAUGUACUUUUGUAGAACACAUGUUUUCAUGGAUACGAGAGGCAGUCCUUUUUUCGCUAGCAGUCAUUUGGUUCACGAUACUUUCGAUACCGACAAAUAUGUUCGGGCGGCCGGUCCGUCCACAGCUAAUGCGUGCUUGCCCGCCGAUGCCUAACGGAGCGCUGUGCUGUCUACGCUCACUGGUCGCUGGCCCGAGAGCCGUUCGGUUGCUGCUGUUAAAACAGUUCUCACAAAAACACGCUGGCUGGCUGCCAGUUCUUCACCAAUGAGAGGCCCAGUAGCAUCAGCAGGUAGCAUUGUUAAAUAUUACUAUUCCAUUUUGUUUACCCAUAUGUCCGACCUAGAGCCGACUGGUAAAAAGCGGCAACCGAGCAGCCCUCCGCAGCGCUGCAGAUCAUGUACGCUCGAUUAUACACAAUAUAUGUGUCUUUCUUGCACACAGAGACAUGA